CCUUUUCUCAGGGAAAAUUCUGACGAUACCUGAGGAAUCACCCUCGGUAACUCCGUGCCCCCUCCGCGGUAAUACGGAGGAGGCAAGCGUUAUCCGGAAUUUUUGGUCGUAAAGCGUCCGUGGGUGGUGGGACAAGUCGGCGGUUAAAAACUGGGGCUUAACUCCAAAAAGGCCGGGGAAACUGCCCCACUAAAGGGCAGUAGGGGUAAAGGGAAUUCCCGGGGUAGCGGUGAAAUGCGUAAAAAUCGGAAAAAACCCCAGUGGCGAAAGCGCUCUACUGGACUGCAACUGACCCUCAGGGACAAAAGCUAGGGGAGCGAAUGGGAUUAAAUCCCCCAUUAUUCAA
rnacentral:rRNA from 1 species